AACGAACGCUGGCGGCAUGCCUAACACAUGCAAGUCGAACGAUGCUUUCGGGCAUAGUGGCGCACGGGUGCGUAACGCGUGGGAAUCUGCCCUUGGGUUCGGAAUAACAGUGAGAAAUUGCUGCUAAUACCGGAUGAUGUCUUCGGACCAAAGAUUUAUCGCCCAGGGAUGAGCCCGCGUAGGAUUAGCUAGUUGGUGGGGUAAUGGCCUACCAAGGCGACGAUCCUUAGCUGGUCUGAGAGGAUGAUCAGCCACACUGGGACUGAGACACGGCCCAGACUCCUACGGGAGGCAGCAGUGGGGAAUAUUGGACAAUGGGCGCAAGCCUGAUCCAGCAAUGCCGCGUGAGUGAUGAAGGCCUUAGGGUUGUAAAGCUCUUUUACCCGGGAUGAUAAUGACAGUACCGGGAGAAGAAGCUCCGGCUAACUCCGUG
rnacentral:rRNA from 1 species